rnacentral:rRNA from 1 species
AUUGAACGCUGGCGGCAGGCCUAACACAUGCAAGUCGGACGGUAGCACAGAGGAGCUUGCUCCUCGGGUGACGAGUGGCGGACGGGUGAGUAAUGUCUGGGGAUCUGCCCGAUAGCGGGGGAUAACCACUGGAAACGGUGGCUAAUACCGCAUAACGUCGCAAGACCAAAGAGGGGGACCUUCGGGCCUCUCACUAUCGGAUGAACCCAGAUGGGAUUAGCUAGUAGGCGGGGUAACGGCCCACCUAGGCGACGAUCCCUAGCUGGUCUGAGAGGAUGACCAGCCACACUGGAACUGGGACACGGUCCAGACUCCUACGGGAGGCAGCAGUGGGGAAUAUUGCACAAUGGGCGCAAGCCUGAUGCAGCCAUGCCGCGUGUAUGAAGAAGGCCUUCGGGUUGUAAAGUACUUUCAGCGGGGAGGAAGGCGACGCGGUUAAUAACCGCGUCGAUUGACGUUACCCGCAGAAGAAGCACCGGCUAACUCCGUGCCAGCCGCCGCCGUAA